UCCUGGCAACCCUUCUCUCGCAGAGCUGAGACGGCACAAUGAGGCUUCCAGCCUAUCCUGGCCCUCUCCCAAUGGCUUUGCCGUGGGGAGCCAGCGGGUUCCUGCAAUGGCGCUGUGGAGCAGGCCCCAGGCUUAGCCAUUUGGUGCAACAGCUUCAAGUUUUGCAAAAGGUGAAAUACGGGGUGUUCAUGCAAAGACACUUGAAGUACUGCCACAUGCUACAUGGAGGACUCCAGUUAAUGAAAGAAGCCACUCAGAAGCCUCACACUGACACAGAUGACACUACUCCACAAACCUGAGGUCCGAUUGAGAAAUAUGGUUGCGAUGAGCAGCUUCCACGGAUCAUGGAAAAGUGUUUCUUGAACAAGAUUAAAAGGUGACCGAGGAGGAGUCCAUUUCUUGAAGGCUUUUCGUCGUGGAGGGCUAAGAGCUACGAAAACAUAGGGGUGUCAGAGCUGUACUCAUGAAAGACUUGGACCCUCCCAAACUGCCUGGGGAAGAGUGGGUACCUCCUUUGUUGUACUUGCUGGAAAAAUACAGGCUUGUUUUCCUUUUUUCUA